CGGAGCUCCACCCACUUGAUUUUCAGUAGAGGAUCACGUCUCUCCGGCGGGUUUUACCUUACAGGUGCUUUACAAUGGCUGGACUCAUAGGCCAAUGUUCCAGUCACGUUGCUGAAGACAGAACUAGUUUGAAUCAGUUCACCCCAGACUGCUUUGAGAACUCACAUCAGAACACGUCAGGAUUUAUAGAAACACUGAAGAAAUAUUCAGUCCCUACGGAAAUGGAGGUUGGGGGCGUGGCCAGAUACAGCUGAUUUGCAUAAAAGUGACAAAGCCCCAAAACAGCUCGUUCUGGAAGGAGCUUAAAAAAAGGGAACUGAGGAGGUGAAAUCUCAUUAUCUGAGAAUCUUUUUGUGCAAAAAAUGUAA